GAUGAACGCUAGCUACAGGCUUAACACAUGCAAGUCGAGGGGCAGCACAGUGUAGCAAUACAUGGGUGGCGACCGGCGCACGGGUGCGUAACGCGUAUCCAACCUUCCCGUUACUCUUGGAUAGCCUUCCGAAAGGGAGAUUAAUACAAGAUGGUAUUCAAAUUCCGCAUGUUAUUUGAAUUAAAGAUUUAUCGGUAACGGAUGGGGAUGCGUGACAUUAGAUAGUAGGCGGGGUAACGGCCCACCUAGUCUACGAUGUCUAGGGGUUCUGAGAGGAAGGUCCCCCACACUGGAACUGAGACACGGUCCAGACUCCUACGGGAGGCAGCAGUGAGGAAUAUUGGUCAAAUGGUCGGAAGACUGAACCCAGCCAAGUAGCGUGAAGGAUGAAGGUUCUAUGGAUUGUAAACUUCUUUUGUCUGAGGGUAAAAAAGGCCACGUGUAGGGCUUCUUUGCAAGUAUCAGACGAAUAAGC
rnacentral:rRNA from 1 species